rnacentral:rRNA from 1 species
UGUGAUGGCGGACCGGCWGAACKGGUGCGGAACACKUACAGAACCUUCCUUCGAGCGGGUGAAUARCCCACAGAMAUUUGGAUUAAUACCCCAUAGUAUUACRGAGUGGCAUCACUUUGYAAUUAAAGAUUUAUCAMUUGARCAUGGCUGUGCGGCUGAUUAGGUAKUUGGCGGGGUAACGGCCCACCAAGCCUACGAUCAUUAACUGGUGUGAGAGCACGACCAGUCACACRGGCACUGAGACACGGRCCCGACUCCUACGGGAGGCAKCWGUAAGGAAUAUUGSUCAAUGGACGAGAGUCUGAACCAUCCAUGCCGCGUGGAGGAUGAAKGCCCUCUGGGUUGUAARCUUCUUUUAUAUGGSACSAAAAAGGGCCUUUCUAGGUCAACUGACGGUACCAUUUSAAUAASCACCGGCUAACUCC